rnacentral:rRNA from 1 species
CCUACGGGAGGCAGCAGUGAGGAAUAUUUGUCAAUGGGCGAGAGCCUGAACCAGCCAAGUAGCGUGAAGGAUUACUGCCCUACGGGUUGUAAACUUCUUUUAUAAAGGAAUAAAGUUAGGCACGUGUGCCCUCUUGUGUGUACCUUAUGAAUAAUGAUCGGCUAACUCCGUUCCAGCAGCAGCGGUAAUACGGAGGAGCCGAGCGUUAUCCUGAUUUAUUGGGUUUAAAGGGAGCGUAGAUGGGUUGUUAAGUCAGGUGUGAAAGUUUGCGGCUCAACCGUAAAAUUGCAAUUGAUACUGGCAGUCUUGAGUACAGUAGAGGUAGGCGGAAUUCGUGGUGUAGCGGUGAAAUGCUUAGAUAUCACGAAGAACUCCGAUUGCGAAGGCAGCUUACUGGACUGCAACUGACAUUGAUGCUCGAAAGUGUGGGUAUCAAACAGGAUUAGAUACCCGUGUAGUC